UUUCCAUGGUGCACAAGAGGGGUUGGCCCUGAAGCUGGAGGUUCGUUCGGCGCCAAGGCUAGAGGAAUAACAAAUAAUGCAGUAAGAGGGGCUGAUGGCGAGCGCAUUGCAGACCCUGCUGCCAGUGAAAUGCUAAUUGGUGUAUGCAGUGAUGGAUAGCCUACACGCCGCUGCUAACUGCCAGAACUUCUGCAGAAGAAAGGUGAACUAAACCAUGUGUGAUUUAUACUCACUGGCGGCAUCACAGCAAAAAGAACCCAGAUUUUAUGUGGCUUUUUCCUCUCAAAAGCGUUGGCGUUUGUGGAGCCUUAUUUAUCACCAUGCCAGAUGAGCUAAAGGAAAAGCUGAUGCCGAAGAGCUGCAGAAGGAUGAUCCUGGUUCAAGGGCCCUGAUGCCAAGGAGCAGAAAGAAAUAGUUAAGGAAUGAGGCUUCAUAAUUUAGUUUGCAAAAAGUCUCAAGGAGAAGGAGAUUCACAGGUCCCACAGCCCUCGUCCCCUGUGUGCUGGCCAAAGAGCUCAUCAUGUUCUUCCAGUGGUACAACUUCCGCUCCCUGCCCCUGGAAAUGAGUGAUGCCCUCACACACCGUGCUGUCAGAUAUCCUGAAGACCCUCGAGAGCUCUUAGAGGGAUGUGUCCCAAUUUCUGUACAUGAAAGUCAACAGUCUCCAAGCAGAGGGAGGUCUGUGUGCUCUCCAUCUGAAGACUAGGACCACAGACCACCUGGGACUGCAGAAAACAGAUCAGCUACUGUGUGCGUAUGAACAUAAUGCAAUUUCUAAUUAUACAUCUGAUCCUUUAAAAAGGCUGUGACAGACAUAACAUGAGGCCUUUGCUUUGCAAAGAACCAGCUUACACAAAUCUCAUCUCAUCUGGGUGAGUUCCACAAUGCUCACACAGGAAUAGAAUGAACAUUGCAUGCAAGUUUGUCAGGACCUAUUGAACCAAUGUGAGGCUGAAGGUGCUGUCAUAGCAGCUGUGAAACAGUGGAUCACCUCUGCUGGAGCAGAUUUUUACAAGUUUGGCAUACAGGUUCUUGUUCACAAAAAUACAUAGCUAAUGGUAGGACUGUGUUGAAAAGUAGUAUUUCGUAGCUGAGAAUUUGCUCUAUCAAAU